GAGGUGGGAGGAUUACUUGAGCCCAGGUGGUGGAGGCUGCAGUGAGCUGUGAUCACACCAUUGCACUCCAGCCUGGGUGACAGAGCAAGACCCUGUCUCA
rnacentral:miRNA from 1 species